GAGGGUAUAGCUCAGUGGUAGAGCACAUGCUUAGCAUGCAUGAGCUCCUGGGUUCAAUCCCUAGUACCUCCA
rnacentral:tRNA from 1 species